UGGAGAGUUUGAUCCUGGCUCAGGACGAACGCUGGCGGCGUGCCUAAUACAUGCAAGUUGAGCGCUGAAGGUUGGUACUUGUACCAACUGGAUGAGCAGCGAACGGGUGAGUAACGCGUGGGGAAUCUGCCUUUGAGCGGGGGACAACAUUUGGAAACGAAUGCUAAUACCGCAUAAAAACUUUAAACACAAGUUUUAAGUUUGAAAGAUGCAAUUGCAUCACUCAAAGAUGAUCCCGCGUUGUAUUAGCUAGUUGGUGAGGUAAAGGCUCACCAAGGCGAUGAUACAUAGCCGACCUGAGAGGGUGAUCGGCCACAUUGGGACUGAGACACGGCCCAAACUCCUACGGGAGGCAGCAGUAGGGAAUCUUCGGCAAUGGACGAAAGUCUGACCGAGCAACGCCGCGUGAGUGAAGAAGGUUUUCGGAUCGUAAAACUCUGUUGGUAGAGAAGAACGUUGGUGAGAGUGGAAAGCUCAUCAAGUGACGGUAACUACCCAGAAAGGGACGGCUAACUACGUGCCAGCAGCCGCGGUA
rnacentral:rRNA from 1 species